CGCGCCGGCGGUCAGACGUCGGUAGUGACGUACCGGGUCUUGACCGGGGGUGCGGCCAGUAGCGGCGGCAGGUCGACGAUCUUGCCCUCGCCGGCGCGG
rnacentral:tRNA from 1 species